CUGAGAACUUCUCUUUAAAUUACACAGAAAUUUCAGACUGCUGUUUUGUUUUUCCAGAAAUGUGUUUGAAAUUAAAACUUGUUGGCAUUUACUGUAUGUUUGUUUUUAGUUAUUUGCUAUGUUUUUUUUGUUAUUUUUAUCAGCUUGAUGACAUGCUUUAUUUUUUCAGGGAAUACUUCCAAUUUCAGCAAAACACUGGAUAGCUUUGAUGCUUGAGUGGUCCCUCUUAAUAAGAAACUUGCAAUGUGAUGGCCAUUGGUAUGCAAACUUGUAACUGCUAAGAUCUUUUUGUGAAUUAAAAGUUGCUAUUGGCACUACUUUCAUUUUGUAGGUUGCUGAAGUGAACUUCCUUUUAAACGGAGGCAAAGGGUAUGGCAUCUCGUCUUAUGUUAGUUAUUAAUGAUGUUAUAUGUACUGUUACUGAGUAACUAUGGAUUUGUUGCUGCCAUUAUUACAUUUCUGAAGUAGAUAUCUAUUUACAAAGAACUUUAUCUAACAGUUAACCUGCUUAUUCUUAAAGCACUUGAAGUUCGAGCUGAUGUAUUCCUUUGAAACUUCCUUUUUCUUAUCAUUUUAUUGCUAUUUUGUACAUGCAUGUUGUCAUUUAUUAAUUCACUGCUACUUAUUCUGGAAUAGUUUUUGGGCUGUUAUUUUUUGUUGUUGUUGUUGUGAACUGCAUUUGGAGUAGUUCAAAUGAUAAAUUCUAAGUUCCAAUCUUGUUAAUUUGCUAACUUCACUGAAAAAUAAUUUAAAAGCUACCCUUUAAUUUUGUUAUACUCUUGAUGUUUCUAUUGUCUUUCGGUCCGUCUUCUUUUUAUUCAAAAGCAACUGUGACCAUAAAAUAUGCGUGAUUUGUGACCAUGAUCUGAUUGGUUAAAUUACUAGUCACGAACUUUUAUCGGGGAUCACAAAAUGUGACCAAACUUUUAUCAGGGGUCAUAAAAUGUGACACCUGAUUUUUGAAAAAAGUUCACAAGUCUGUAAAUUUUUGACAAAAGGCACAUUGAAACCUUUGUAGUUAUGUAAUUUUUACUUAAAAUAAAGAACAAAGAUUGUUUAUUUUUUUUCACUGUUUUUUUAUGCAUAUUUGAAUGAUUUCAAACCAUUUAAAUUGCUCGUAGAAAUAGUGAGUACAUUGUUUUUUUCUAUUUGUCGAAAUGGGUAAUUUUUGCUUCAAUAUUUAACAGUAGGGCAUCUUUUUUGUUGCUGUAUUGGACUAGGAGAAGAUGUGACGGGGAUUGAUUCCGUUGGUAAAAUGUGAUUAUGUUCGUCCUAUGAAUUUACGAUUGAUAAUGGAGCUCAAUUGGGGGUUUAAUUAUUAUCAAUUUUUGUAUAAUUGGUGCAAAAUAAUCCUGUCAUUUACAUGUUUUGUACGAAACAAUCUUAUCUUUUCAUUUUGGGGGUAAUACUCCCUCGUUGUAGUCAUAUCUUAACAUUCUUAUCCUCACUCUUUAAUUAAGCAAAAUAUUUCAUAUCAUUUUUUGUACAAAAGGUCCAUUGAGUGGGAAGGGGGAGGGGAAAUGAAACAACAUAUUUGCUCGUCGUACUUUAAAGUAUUUUUCUUUCAUUUCAAAGCUCUUAAAAUGGAAAAUCUUAAUGGAUUUAUCGUCAAAGAUGAGAUGUGUGAAUUACUGGAAGGUGAAGAUAAAAAUUCGGCAAAAAAGCUAGAGACAAAAGUGUUUACGGUAAAAAAAAAUAAAAAUAAAAAAUGUUGAAGACUUUAUGAACAGUCAUAUUAAAUUGUGGUUUAAAUAUAAUUUAAUAAUAUGAAUUGAGCAUAAGUUAAACAAUUAAUAAAUUUUAUUAAAAAUUAUUAUGCUAAUUAGUUCUUUUUUAAAUAAUAAAUAAAUAAUGUUUUAUAUUUUAUAAAUUAAUGUUACUAGAAUAUAAAUAUUAAUUGGAUAAAAAAUUAUUUACUUGAAUUUAACAUUUUUA
rnacentral:lncRNA from 1 species